ensembl:piRNA 21ur-6780 ncRNA
UAUUUUUUCUGAUAUAACGGA